GGAAAUGCUGCGUUGAUCUCCAAUCCAAAUCAAGGGCGUUAGCUCUUUGUUUUUGUCUUCAAGAAGCGACUAUUAUAAAUCCUCGUCUCUUCCGCUCACUUCAUAUACUAACUAAUCAGGAGAGGGGAGCAGAAACUACAAACUGGACCAUUGUCCUUACCGAGAUGGCCGUUGCCCAGAAGAAAAACGGCGUCCUCGGUUUCACACGAGGGCCUGGAGGCGUCAGUCCAGAGUUGCUUGGCCGGCAGGGCGCGCCAGAAUCCGUGGUCCCCGCGUGGCCGGUAUAAGCGCUUCGCUUGUGGAAGCCUCCUAGGCCCUUUGCCAUCGCUUUGUGCUUGCUCCUACUCCCGUCUGCCUCCCUACUGCGAAGCUUAAGCGGUAGGGAGCAGAAGAAAGGGACAGAGAACCUAAAACGCUGCGCCGUCCAGGUCGAGGAAACAGGCUUACAGACCAGGAAUGGAAUUCGAGCAAAAUUCUCCGCUUUGGCUAUGAUGUCUGGGAAAUGGAACCUGAUAUCACCUGAUGUGAUAUUUGUCACCAACAAGAACGGGCUCAGCAUCAACAUUUAUCAUUGUUCAGUAUUGGUUGGGAUGUGGAGAUGCCAAAGGCAACACCCAAUUAAGCUUCUGCUGGUAAAGAGCCAGGUUUUUUUUUUUUUUUAAUAUAUAAUAUAUUUUUUAAAUUUCAAAAAAAGAGCCAGACUUGUCACACCUUUCUGAGGACAAGGAGACUCUUAGAUCUGUUGACAUAACUGAGGGGGUGCAGGUCAAGUGAAUCAUUCCAGAACAAGCUAAGUCUUCUGCAAGGUGACUUCUGCCACCUCCCAGGCUAGAGGUCAUGUCUCCCAAACCUAAGGGCUCUUUACUUUUAUUGUUCUGACAUUCUAC
ensembl:lncRNA